rnacentral:rRNA from 1 species
UACGGAGGGGGCUAGCGUUGUUCGGAAUUACUGGGCGUAAAGCGCGCGUAGGCGGCUUUGUAAGUUAGAGGUGAAAGCCCGGAGCUCAACUCCGGAACUGCCUUUAAGACUGCAUCGCUAGAACGUCGGAGAGGUAAGUGGAAUUCCGAGUGUAGAGGUGAAAUUCGUAGAUAUUCGGAAGAACACCAGUGGCGAAGGCGGGUCUCUGGGCCGAUACUGACGCUGAGGAGCGAAAGCGUGGGGAGCGAACAGG